rnacentral:lncRNA from 1 species
AGGUACUCACAUCCAAAGUUUAAUCUGCCACAGAGAAACACUGUGAUGCAUUGCAUCUUUCAACAUUUUUUUUUACUAUUUUGUCACAACGCAUGUCUAUUAGUUCAAUCUGUAUUUGAGGACUAGUUUCCGAGGCAUUCACAGCUGCAGUUUCGAGAUGAUUUUUCAGGCCAGUAUCUCCUGAUCUGGUAUGAGAUCUCAACAAAGUCCUAAAAUUGUCAUCAUUGUGCAAAGGUUCUUUACAGUUAAUAGGUCCUGAUUAAUUGAUCCCUCUUAAAGCCAGUUAUUGUUAGCCACAAAGAACAAUAGUUUUCACAAGUGGCAGAAUUUUCUUUCUGUUUUCUUUUGCUUUUUUAUUUUCUUUAUCACAAUGAUGAGUUUCUUUGGCAGGGGUUGAAUUAGAUGAACAACUGGUAGAAACCUCAGUUUUAACAGUUUUCACCUACAAUCCAGGUGUGCAUGUUUUGGGGUCUCCAUCAGUACCAGCUGCUGCGGUAGUUCUCAACCUUCUUGGUCCUCAAUAUUUGGAUUUUUCUUUUUUGCCAUGAACUCAAAAAUGUUCUGUUGCUUUGAUAGAUGUUUAGGUAUCUUCUGGAGUCAGAUGGAUGAAAAUAAACGCUAACAGGGCUUUAAGUCUCAGAACAGCAACUCAAGCUAGCAGACAGUAAGACAGCUGUGCUUAGAAUGACCCACAGCUGUUUCAUGUCUUCCUUUUAUACUCCAAUGGGAGGAACAACAAGGCAGACAUAAGAGAGAGCUCUGAGAGGGGAAGAGCAAUAGGACAGUGAUGUGACUACUUUCAGAUGUUUUUUAAAGUAAUAUUUCAAGUUACGUGUACAAAAUAUCAACAUUUCAUUGAGAUGGUGCUUGGAGUUCUGGAGGAACGUUCUUCUACAACCUGCAACUUCUAAUAUUCCUCAACUGAAUGAAAGGAUUAUUGGGAAGAAUAACAUUGCGAUCCUGCCUAACAACACAAACCCCUACGUAGUAAGCCCCAAAGAGUCCAGUGGGGAUUACUCUCAGGUAACUAAGUACAGGAGUGCAAUCUAAGUCUCUGUGAGAUGGUGCCUUCAAGUCUCCUAUUGACUUGUGGUGUUGCCACAGAUUUCAUAUCCAAGGAAUACUUAGAGGUGUUGUCUUCUGAAACAUAGUCUACAGCUCUCGGUAUUAGAGUUACCAUGGCAUAGCGGUUUGAGUAUUAUACUAGGAUACCAGGAAAUGAGGGUUUGAAUGCCUGCUGAGCCCUGGAAGCCCACUGAGAGUUCUUGCACAAGCCACACUCCCUUGGUCUCAGAAGAAUGCAAAGGCAAAUCCCCUCUGCAUAAUUAGUGCCAAUAAGAUCCAUAUCAGGCUUACUUCAGGGUCCCCAUAAACUGGAAACUAUGUGAAGGGACACAAGAACAGUAACCUGGGACAUCUUGACAGUUUUCCAUUCAAAUGUUAACCAGACAUAACCC